UACGUAGGGGGCAAGCGUUGUCCGGAAUCAUUGGGCGUAAAGAGCGUGUAGGCGGUUCGGUAAGUCGGCUGUGAAAGUCCAGGGCUCAACCCUGGGAUGCCGGUCGAUACUGCCGGACUAGAGUUCGGAAGAGGCGAGUGGAAUUCCCGGUGUAGCGGUGAAAUGCGCAGAUAUCGGGAGGAACACCUAUGGCGAAGGCAGCUCGCUGGGACGUUACUGACGCUGAGACGCGAAAGCGUUGGGAGCAAACAGG
rnacentral:rRNA from 1 species